AUAACUAAUCUUCUUCUGAACUGUCAUCUCUACUCUGGUCUCCUUUAUGAUGUCCACUGGUAGUAGGAUCUGAAGAUCCUGAUGCGGGAUUAUUCAUUUGAAUGUGUUGUAGGAUGAGUUGCAUCUUCUCAUCUUGUUUGCGCAUGCGUUCACUUUGCUCUUCAUGAGUUUUCAUCAAUAGCUCCAUCUUUUCUUCAAGUGUCCGCUCCUUGACACGUUUUGUCAUAAGUUCAUCAUUUAGCUUUUGAAUAAUCUCACGCAUUUCUUCUAUUUGAUGGACUACUGGAGCUUGACUUGCAGCAGAGUGAGCACUUGUUGAACUAUUAAACCUUUUGCUCAAUACACCAAGACCAUAGACAUUCCCUUUUUUAUUUCCACUUCCACCAACAUCGAUGUAUAUUUCAUUGUCAUCAAUAGAGGCAACAUGAGAGUUUUACGAAGAUGCGCUUUCAAGCAUUUGCUGUUGUUGGGCUUCUUCUCGAC
rnacentral:lncRNA from 1 species